GGGGGGGGUGUUGAUUUUGCCUCCCAGGGGACAUUUAGCAAUGUCUGGAGACAUUUUGAUCUUCGAGCUUCUGGCAGUUAGCGCACAGAUGCUGUUAAGUACCCCACAAUAAACAGGACAGCUCCCAACAAAGAUCCACCCCCACAAGUCAACAGUGCAAGAAAUCCUGCUCUAGGGUAAUGGCAACGCCCUACAUCUUGAUUGGCUACAUGGGUGUCAAACAUAUUGGUCAAAACCCCCCAAGCUAUUUUGCUUUAAGUAAUUAUACCCCAAUUUAGAAAGACACUGAACAAAAGCAAAUCUUUUUGGGCGGCCCUACAAAUCCUGCGCUAACCACAGUGCCCUCUGGGGUUGAGAAGAGAUCUUAACCGGGAAGAGCCCAUCAAUACCCUGGCGAUGAGAAACCUGACGCACAAUGAAUGGGUAACCAAUAUAUGGGACACUUUCCCCAAGAAGUUUAGAACAUACCGAUAGAGUUUUUAGUAAUUUUAAAACAUUUCAGAAAUAGGUCUAUGGAAGAGCAUACGAAGCUAGGAAGAGAGAACUUUUUAAGAAAACAUCAGGGCACCAACAGACCUUGCCACAGACCACGCCUUAGUGCAACAGUCAGGGAAGUGUUCAUAAAGGGUAACAAUCCCAUUAGACUGUGUAUAGCUGGAGCAUUUAUUCCACAAGUGUCUUCAUAGAUCAUAAAUUAAUAAGUUAAUUGUCACAGCAACUCUCCAAGAUACAGAAAAUGUUAAUCUUGCCAUGAAUAAGCUGCAUCUUAAGAGUUUAGAUGCUGUGCUGAAGUCACCCACUCCUGGGGGUGGUCAUGGAUGGAGGAAACACAGAGCAGGGACUGAAUGGGGCCAGGGCCACAUGCAGCCCGCAGCCUGAGCCUCCCGUUCCACGCCUGGACCUCAUUCUGGGUACCUGGGAACCCAAGUUCUUUGUCCAGUGACCCCCAAGCCCACUUCUGUGGCCAGCGUGAGUCUCUUCCCUGGGUCUCUUGUCCUGCAAAUAGACCACCCCACCAGUGUGAACAUGCCCUGUUCACAGGGCAAGAGAGGAAGGUACAGUGAAAGCUUGGGUUUGUGGCUGGGUCAUUCACAUGCAAAGUUGUCCCUGUGCCUUUGUUCUCAGUAAGCACAAGCUUCUACCUAAAUAGUCCCUCACGGAGUAAAAAGCCGCUGUCUCAGCAAUUUGGGUAGAUGUGUGCUGGCCAAAGGCGCAAUUACCUCUUAAUGCUUCCUCAAUGGGAAUUUUUUCUUCUGUGGUCACCAUGUCACGGACCUGACCCAUUGCAGUUCAGGUUAGAUUUAUGCAGCCAAAUCCAUUUUGGUGUCAAGUUUGAAAACAAAGCUACGCUUUCUUGGGGCGCCUGGGUGGCUCAGUUGAGCGUCCAACUCUCUGAUUUCGUCUCAGGACAUGAUCUCACGCCUACUGAGAUGGAGCCCUACAUGGGGCUCUGCACUGACAGCCUGGAGCCUGCUUGGGAUUCUCUCUCUCUCCCUCUCUGUGCCCCUCCCCUGCACUCUUUAAAUAAAUAAACAUUAAAUUUUAAAAAAUUAGAAACUGCUUUCUCAAACCGACUCACAUUUUGGAAUUGCAUAUAUGGGACCUCAGGCCUAUACUAGGAGUUUCAUUGAGAUCUCUUACUGCCCCCCCCCCGCCGCCCCCCUGCAGACUCAUGGCCCAAGCAAGCUGUUUCUUUAAGCAAGUGAAAUGGCCGGCAAAUUCCUCCUCCUCCUCGAUCCAGCAAUAUCGUUGCAGCAGAAAUUCCUCGAAGUUUCCAGAAUGUGGAUGCCACACUAGAGCGCUGAGGUAGCUUCUGUUAUAUUUUCCAGCGGAAAUCAGGGAGGGGAGAAAUGUGUUUUCUCAGUGUGCUCUCUUAACCCAAAAGUCCUGCUUUUGACAUAUAACCCUGGAAGCGGGGUCAGGGAGGUCAAGAGCCGUGCACUUUCCAGUAAGGUGUCCUGUUUUGCUAAUCAAGGUCUUUACUACUAUGAGCAAGUACUAAGUUCUUUCACAGGUAUUUACUGCAGUGUCUGCCAGUGUGUGCAUGUGUGUGUGUGUGUGUGUGUGUGUGCUGCUUCAUGUUUCAUGGCAUCAUUUCAAAUACCCCCUUCAAUAUGCAAACCGUCUUUAAGCUGCUGUUGUGUGUUUUACCAUAUAGCUGGCCUCAUUUAUGUGUUAGGAACAUUUUAUCCAUUAAUCUAUACCAACCAAUUAUCUGUAGACCCAAGUAUUACAAGCCCUUGCUUUGGCAAUUUGGAAAUCAACACAUGAGUUUUUCUGGCUUUAGGAGACAAAACACUCUCGUUCACCACUGUGUCCGUCAGAUUGGAAAUGUCUCACCUAGAGCAGCAAAGUUGUCAAAGAACUCUAAUGGGGGAAACAGACAUGUAGGGAAAAUAAAAAAUUUCUUGUGUAUCUUCCUUGGUCCAUCAUAAGAACCAAAUUUUGAAUAUUUAUGGGUAUGUCCAACGGAAACAAUGGUCUGGAGCACACCUCGACUCAACUAGUUGUGGAAGGUUUAAUCCUCUGUAGACCAGUGUGAAAGAGGUGACCAGGAAGCCAGAUUAGAAUGAGCCCCAUUUGGCACCCAGGUGGCUCAGUCGGUUAAGUGUUCGACUUCGGCUCAGGUCAUGAUCUCAUGGUCCGUAAGUUCAAGCCCCACAUCUGACUCUGUAUUGACAGCUCAGAGCUUGGAGUCUGCUUCAGAUUCUGUGUCUUCGUCUCUCUCUGCUCCUGCCCAGCUUGCUCGCUCACUCUCGCUCUCUCUCAAAAAUAACAUUAAAAAAAAUAUUUAAGGAAUGAGCCCCCGUCUGUAUGCAAAACUCUAACCCAAAUCUCACACAUGAAGAGUCAGUAGAUCAUCAGUGGGACUUUGGUCUUUAUCUCCAGCUUCUACAUACCCUGAAACCCAAAUUCUGGACAAAGAAGUGUUUUAGGACCAGAACACAGGGCAGCAAGGGCUCUGAAAUCAAGGAGCCCUGAUCUCACCAGGUCUAGGUCUAGUGUUGGAAAUUAAUUUCACCUCUAAAACCUAACAAACCUAACUGCUCAUUAUUGAAGUGUGCCUCUUCCCAUCUACCCCAUAGAUUGGUUGGGAAAAUUAGAGAACGUUCUUGAAAGCGCUGGCCAACUCAGAAAAGGCAUUCAAAAGAGGUGGCUUUGAUCAUUGUCACAAGUGAAAAAUUCUCACCCCAAGCCACUAUCUUUGUCAAAAGACCAUGAUCUAUUACAGCUAUUAUGUUCUCCAGUCUGCACUAUCUUCUAAAAAGUUGACUAGAAACCUGGCUUCCGUUGCGAUGAUGCCCAGUCAGCCACCAACCUGUAGAAGGUGCAUUUCUUGCACCAGGUGUUGGCCAACAGAAGUGCACAAGCCAGCUGCUGGGCCAACUUGCUGGAGGUGAGCAGGGGCCCAAGAUGGUUACUCAGAGCUUCAGGCUGAAGGGCUUUCUCCACGUGCAUGACACUGAGCUAGGAGCUGGAAACCCAACUCAAAAGAGAGUCCUUGUCUUCAAAACAGCUACCAAAGGCCAUGGAAUAAGGCAGCCAAUGCCCAGCUCCAUAAGAGUACAGAAUACAGAGCUCUGAGCUUACUAAGCCCAGCAUCUGGGGGGAGCCUUGAAGAUGGGCAAAAUUUGAAGAAGGGUAACUGGAAGCGAAUACAUUGCAGCGGGCGGGGGCGGGGAGUCACUUCCCUUUCACCAGCAAAAUUAUCAGAAAAAGGUAAGAGUUGACCCCCCUAGAGCCCCAUGGAGUCAAGCUGGCCUCUUGGGCCAGGCAUGACUCUGUGUGGGUGUUAUAUUGGGACAUGGGCACAAGCAUUUCUCUGUCCCGUUCCCUCUGUGGAACUUCAGCUUUGCUUUUUUUUCUCCUAACAACAUAAAUCUAGGGACACACUGAAAAGGAAUGUUCCUGUGCCCACUGAAGGCUAAAACUAGAGCAGACAAAAAUGCAUUCAACAAUGCUUUAGCAAUGUGCAUGCAGUCAGCUUCUAUAGCUUGAAACAUGGGGGCACAGAAUCUCAAAAUUCUGCCUCCUUAGCUACUGACUUAGGAACAGACCUCAGAUAAUCUCCUCCACUGCCAUAGGCAGAAUCUGCAGGAGAAGUCAUUCCAGAAAGUUCCCCCGAGCUUGAACAUCUGUGGCUCUCAGAUAUUUCAUUCCUGGCCCAGACUUCCUGUCUUUGCCAACCACUAUGAUUAAAAAUGCAUCCAAAGUAAACCUCAGACAACUGAACCUUCCUCAUCAACGUGGGGGGCACUUGGUGCUAGAGGGUGGUCACCCCAAGUCAUUUGUAAACGUUGCCCCAGGUGCUCAGCAGCUGGCUGGAACAGCUCAUGAAAUUCUAUCCCAGCUCCCAGCACACCAAGAAGUAACCCAGGGAAGCCAACAACCCCAUCCCACCUGUGGAAAUUAAUGGCGCCAGCUCAGCAUGUUGGCAGAGAAAAGAAAUUUACACAGCAAACAAACCUGCUGAAAAAAUUGGAAAUAUUUGCUUAACAGGAGCACAUUGAUUAAAGUCACUCCAAGAUCAAAUUACUCUCCCAGCCCCGGACGAUUUCACCCCGGAGGGCAGCAGACUUGUAUUGGCAGAGUAUUGAUGAAAAGCUCUCUCUCUGUCUAGAUGCGCCAUAUUAAGGGCGUUAAUCUCAGAAGUGGCCCAUAAUUUUACUCCUACACUCUUCAUUUGGAAGAGUUUAAUUCCAAUACAAACAGUAAUAAGGAAAUAAAACCAUGGAUGUAUGUCUUUCCAAUACCCGUCUUUGGUAAGAAUCUUUCAUCUUUAUGGUCAAUUAAAGCUCAUCUUAAACAUAAAGUUAAGCUCGUUUCAAACAUUCUUCCAAGGUUAUUCGGGCUUUCUGAAAUCCUCUACAACUUAAAGGAAACUAAAAAGCAGAGCCAAAGCCACUUCUUAACUACAAAGGCAAACAAGUCACCAAAUAAAUGUUUAACAGGAGCGUUAUCACAUCACCUAUAUGGACAGCAUAUUUGUACACGAGGAGGGCACGCAUAAGGAGGGAGCCAUAUCAGAGAAAUUAGCUGUUCCAAGAAAGGUCCCUCACCUGGUACCUGGAGAGAAGGGCAUUUGAGGGACAGGCCAAGGUGGGCAAGCUACAUAGGGUAGUUUAUCGGCUGUUUGAAGAGGCUGGUUGGGUCUCUCUAGGCCAGUGCAGCUAGCCAGCAGAGAAACCAGUUCCCCAUGGCCACCCUGAAAAUAAUUCAUAUUCCAUUUGCCACAGCACUGAGUAGGGGCAGCCUGGGCUUUGUGUGCCUCUGCUCCCUAAGAUCAGCCAUGAUGAAGCAAGAACAUCUCACACCCUGGCUCAGGUGGCUUCUCUUGUGACCCUUCGAGAGAUGAAAGAGCCCGUGCCUCACGCUAGAAAAGGACACUUCAGUGCAUGUCUUCUCGGCCCAGGUGCCUAAAUACGCAAUAGCACCAAGGCCCAAGGACCUAAAGGCAGCAAGAAAAAAAAGCAAGUGCAUUGGCACCGACUGACUACGCACACCUGGACCUCCUAGCUUCUGCUGCCCCGUCUCCAGCCAGUAGCACUCCGGGCUGCCCACCCCUCCCACGCAGGGUGUUUGGACAAUGCUGAGCUCGGGCCUGGAAUCACCCUCCCUUCUUCACUCCCAAGCGUCCAUCUCCAAGCCGUAGGAACAUGCAACUCUCCCCCCAUUCGGGGAAUGUCUCUAGCCGAGGACAUUCUGCACUGGCAGACCAGACGCCCAAGUUACAAUGUCAGCGAAUGCUCCAAGAAGUUCCCCUGGUGGACAAAGGAUGAGCUCCCUACACCCUGCUGGAAAUCAGAGAAUCCACGCUUCCCACCCAGCCACCUGCCUCUGAAGAGGAUGCAGAGCCGCCUUGCAGGAGAUCCCCGUCGUUUGAUUAUGAUGUGCGGUGAGCAGCCAGAUGUCACUCUGAAGAAUAAAUUUUUUGGCUGAAGAGAAAAUGCAUGCUCUACUUCCUGAUAAUUGAUUUGCAAGGUUCCAAUUUCAGCAGCAAAUUGCUUCUGCUGCCCAGCUGGUUUUCUGGAUGAGGGGAUCCCAACGCAUCCCCAUGGGGACCUGUGCCCUCUUCAUGUCAGCCCUUCACAUGGAUGCCAUGCUUCUCGCUCACGGGAAUCACCCCACUUGUCCCUUGAUGCUUCGUGACCAUUGCUGCCUUCAUGCAGCUGGACAACAAGUCUGGAGAUAACCAGCCCAGGUCGAAAGUAAGGCAAUUGCAUUGAGAGAAGUGUCUGAUUCAGGGAAGGGGGUAGAAGCGUCUGAUCGGGGAAGUGUGCUUUAAGGCUCAAAUACCCCCAAGAUAUUAAGACAUCACACCCACCAAAGGAGACCCAUGAAAUUGCAGUAAAAAAAUAUAUAUAUAUAUAUAUAUAUGUUCACUGAAUCCCGGAAGCCUUCUCCUUAGGAGAGGAAACACCCCAGGGUUACGAUGCCCAGAGUCCCAAGAAAGCAGUAGGACACCCCAGGAGUGUUUGUUUUAGUAACUUUUCCUCAGUGCUCGUCCCUCCCUCUCGCCACCUACUUCUCUUGCGCUCAUGCACAGAAAGGGUAAUCUAUCACUUCCAACACGUAGGACCCAGAUUCUAGGCUGCUGCCAGCAAAUAGGGAAGAGGAAGGUAGGGGUAUCAGGGAUUCCUUAUCACAGAAGGUGAGCUUCAGCAGGUAUGGUCUAAAACAAAGGCAAGAGCCACUCUCUUGUAACUUUAGUUGGCCAAUAUCCCCAUCUGUUACCAUGACUGCUAUCUGAUACUGUUUAUGUGCAGUACAUAGGGAAUAGAGAGAAACAGAGUCCUACAGACCCACAGACACAAACAGAAGAACAUGUACACACACACACACACACACACACACACACACCCCUUUGCUCUAUUCCAAGCUUAGCAAAGGAAAGAGAAGAUGAUGCCUUAAGCCACCACUUCACAACCUCAGCCCUCUACUCUGGGCUUUGCAAGUGUCACACACGUCCCUGCAAGGGGGCGUCACUGUCCUCAUUUAACAAAUAGGAAAACUGAGGCUCAGAAGAGUUAAGUAACACAAGCUCUACAGCUGGAUUGCUUAGAGCCGAAAUUCAGAUCCACGUCUGUCACAUCUUCCCGAGCCUGGGCCUCGGCACUCGCCGUUUCUCUUGAUGCAGGCCACAAAUCACCAUCGCUUGAAGACGAGCCCGGCACCACCCCUAAUUCCGUGCUUCAGUACGUUCAGUGAUUUCUGCUGAUAAAUAACCACUGUCCCCACCGAGCAAAAAGGACACACGCAAAGGAAACAGAGAUGAGCAGUCAGCAGGAGUUGAUCUGGUCCCGUUCGUCACAGCCGCAACUAUUUUAGAAUCACUGUAAUAGCACAUGAUAUGCAACUCUUCCUUUUUGUCUCAGAGUUUUCUGUUUGGGCAGGAGCCCGAGGGGCCUGAAAAGCGGAAAACAGCAGUGACGCUGGGCGCCCCCAUCACGAAGCCAUGUGGUGGGCAUAGCAGGCUGUGCGUGCAGGAGGCAGAAUGCCACUUCUGCCUGCAAGGGCCGGUCACCCACCUCCUUCCUUCAAAAGGUGGCAAGAGAGAGAAAGUCUCUUCAGAGGAGUUGAGCUGGGCUGUAGGGGUUCCCACACACCUCCACAGUAUGUGGGCUCUGUCGCUUGACCUCAAGCUGCGUGAAGAAACUUCAAAAGCGUUAACACAGGGGCACCUGGGUGGCUCCCGCGGUUGAGCGUCUGACUCUUGAUUUCAGCUCAGGUCAUGAUCUCACGGUUCGUGGGAUCGAGUCCUGUGUUGGGCUCUGCACUGACAGCACAGAGCCUGCUUAGGAUUCUCUCUCUCCCUCUCUCUGUGCCCCUUCUCCACUCUCUCUCUCUCUCUCUCUUUCACACACACAUGUAAAUAAACAUUUGAAAAAAAAAUGUUUAAGUGUUAACACGGAGCAUUUAGGAGUCAUAGGGAUUGGCGUCUACACCUACCUGGGGAGAGACUAAGGAUGAAAGGCCGCGAUUCAUCCUCCCUGCCUGGUGGCCCAGCACUGGAGCAAGGUUUACUUGCACAGGUAGCUGGCAAAGGUAAGUGGGGUUUUGUGGUUGCUGUUUGCGGGGAAGAGCCAGCCAAAGGUCCCAUCCAAGAGGAUCCUCAAGAUAUUAAUUAUUCUAGCUUCAUCUUAAAUCUUUGUAUCCAGUGAAUAUCCUCCCCAGUUUGUGCUUCUUCGGGGAGGCCUUGGCGGUCCCUUGAUCUUCUAUUGAAAACUUACUUCAGUUUGUGAUACACCAAUGGAAAUUCCAUUUGGAAUUGUUAUAGAUCAAUUUGGGGAACAUUAUCUCCCUUAUGAUAUUCAAUUAUCCUAUCCAUAAACAUGGUAUGUAUUUUCAUUUACUUAGGUGUUUUUUAAAGACCUAACAAAAUUGAUAAACCCCUAGCCAGAUUUAUCAAAAAGAAAAAGGAAAGGACCCAAAUAAAUCAGGUCACGAAUGAAAGAGGAGAGAUCACAACCCACACCACAGAAAUACAAGCAAUAAUAAGAGAAUAUUAUGAGCAAUCAGAUGCCAACAAAUUGCACAAUCUAAAGACCUAAAUGAACUUUUAUAUAUUUCAUCUGCAAGAGUCUUACAUAUCUGCUUUUAGAUUUAUCUCCCAAGUACCGUAUUUCUAUUUGUUUUAAAUGCUAUCACAUAUUCUGACGGCUACCUAGAAAUGCAACUUAAAUUGUGUUCAUUUUAUAUUCACAGAAACUAUUAAUAAUUUUAAUAAUUUGCCUGUAGAUCUUUUAGGCUUUCUGUGUAGGAUUUCAUGUCUAAGUAAUAACGUUCUUCCUUCAUUUCAUUUAAUUUGUUGCUUUGUCUAGGAUUGUAGUACAAAGUUUAAAAGAUGCAGCUAGAGUAGGCAUCCUGGUCCUGCUUCUUAUUUUAAAGUGUUUCUAGGGGCGCCUGGGUGGUGCAGUCGGUUAAGCGUCCGACUUCAGCCAGGUCACGAUCUUGUGGUCCGUGAGUUCGAGCCCCGCGUCAGGCUCUGGGCUGA